AGAGUUUGAUCCUGGCUCAGAGCGAACGCUGGCGGCAGGCCUAACACAUGCAAGUCGAACGAACUCUUCGGAGUUAGUGGCGGACGGGUGAGUAACACGUGGGAACGUGCCUUUAGGUUCGGAAUAACUCAGGGAAACUUGUGCUAAUACCGAAUGUGCCCUUCGGGGGAAAGAUUUAUCGCCUUUAGAGCGGCCCGCGUCUGAUUAGCUAGUUGGUGAGGUAAAGGCUCACCAAGGCGACGAUCAGUAGCUGGUCUGAGAGGAUGAUCAGCCACAUUGGGACUGAGACACGGCCCAAACUCCUACGGGAGGCAGCAGUGGGGAAUCUUGCGCAAUGGGCGAAAGCCUGACGCAGCCAUGCCGCGUGAAUGAUGAAGGUCUUAGGAUUGUAAAAUUCUUUCACCGGGGACGAUAAUGACGGUACCCGGAGAAGAAGCCCCGGCUAACUUCGUGCCAGCAGCCGCGGUAAUACGAAGGGGGCUAGCGUUGCUCGGAAUUACUGGGCGUAAAGGGAGCGUAGGCGGACAUUUAAGUCANGGGUGAAAUCCCGGGGCUCAACCUCGGAAUUGCCUUUGAUACUGGGUGUCUUGAGUAUGA
rnacentral:rRNA from 1 species